rnacentral:lncRNA from 1 species
UUGGCACCAUUAUUUUUGUUGAUGGUGAAAAUACUAAAAGGGGCCAGGCAUGGUAGCUCACGCCUGUAAUCCCAGUACUUUGGGAGGCCGAGGUGGGUGGAUCACAAGGUCAGGAGAUCGAGACCAUCCUGGCUAACACAGUAAAACCCCAUCUCUACUAAAAAUACAAAAAAUUAGCCAGGUAUCAUGGAGGGCGCCUGUAGUCCCAGCUACUUGGGAGGCUGAGGCAGGAGAAUGGCGUGAACCCAGGAGGCAGAGCUUGCAGUGAGCUGAGAUCCUGCCACUGCACUUCAGCCCGGGCAACAGAGCGAGACUCCAUCUCAAAAACAAAAAAAAAAAAAGAAAAAGAAAAUACAACAAGGGUACACAGAAGACAAACAGUCCCCUGGCAUAACAAGAGUCACUGUAGUGAAGAGGACAGAUUUCUCAGCCAAGAAUUAGCUAAAGGUGCCAACUCCCUUCCUCUAGCCUCUUCAAACUGCUAAGCCUCAACAAGAGGAUUGAUGCCUGGUUGGAGGUCCCUCUGGCCUCCUUUAGGACCACUGCAGGACCUGUGCCUUUGACCCACACCCACUCCUCAUGUGUGACAUUGUGGUUUUCUACUACAUGACAUAUUUUCCACAAUUAUAAAAGAUUCCAUGCUCACAUCCGGGAGACAGCCUUGGAGUCCCCUAUUGUUGGAGUUUGCUCCAGUGCCAAAGCAGAGAGGAAAGAAAUGGCAUAUAAUUGUGACUCUUCUCCCUAGGCAAAAUGGCAUGUAAUUGUGACUCUUCUCCCUCGGCACUACAGAUAUUUCCCCUUUCCUCAUGCCAAUUCAUUUUUGUUUCCUUAUCUCUUGUCUUCACAUGGUUUAUAAAGAAAAAUCUUUGCCUUGUAAGUGGAAAGCAAGAAUAUUAAUUUCAUAAAUAUAAUAUGAUAUAUUGUAUAAUAGUAGUAAGACAAAGAAGAGAGAAAAAGAAGAGGAAGAGAAUAAGUGGAGAGGGGAAGAGAGAAGGAAGGAAGGAACGAUUUCUGUGAAACCACCCAGAAGUUCUUCUGAGUUCUGCGUCUUAGUAAACUGUUCCUAGAUUUAAGCAGGUACAUAUAAAUGAAUAAACCUAACACUUGACAGUUUCUAGUCUUAAUGAUCCCUUGUGGCUACUUUAAAGAAAGAUACUUUUAAAGAACUGAACAAUUUUUACAUGUAUUAGAGCAAUAAGAAAAUGUUCUAGCCUGUUAUGUAGAAAUUGCUGAAUUCUUGUGGAUCAGGUUAGAGGUAACAUAAGUACUCAACAGUAACUAUUGUAAAUACUUUUUAAAAUAAUUCAGAUAAGCACUACAUUAAAAAUAUGCAGUUUAUUAGGUUGAUGCAAAAGUAAUCGCGGUUUUUGCCAUUAUGUUUAAUUAUGUAUGUUUAAUGACAAAAACCGCAAUUACUUUUGCACCAACCUAAUAAAAAUAAUAUCUAAACAGCAGUAUACCUUAAAUUUAUUUUUAUAUUUCAUCCAGUACAUUUAGGAAUUUUUGUUCUAAAUUAUUUACUGGCUUAGUUUUGCAGUUUUUUAAUUUAAAAUUUUUAAAUUGUGGUAAAAUAUACAUAAAUUUAUCCUUCUAACUAGUUUCAAUUGUACAAUUCAGUGGACUUAAGUACAUUCACAUUGUUGUGUAAUUUUGAAUUUAAUUUUUUUUUUUUUUUAGAGGGAAUCUUGCUGUGUUGCCAGGCUGAAGUGCAAUGGCGCUAUCUCGGCUCACUGCAACCAACCUCUGCC